rnacentral:rRNA from 1 species
GAUGAACGCUAGCGGGAGGCCUAAUACAUGCAAGUCGAGCGGUAGAGUGACUUCGGUUGCUUGAGAGCGGCGUACGGGUGAGUAACGCGUACACAAUCUACCUUCAAGAGGGGAAUAGCCCUGGGAAACUGGGAUUAAUGCCCCAUAGCAUUAUGUUACGGCAUCGUGAUAUAAUUAAAGCUGAGGUGCUUGGAGAUGAGUGUGCGUCUGAUUAGCUAGUUGGUAGGGUAACGGCCUACCAAGGCUACGAUCAGUAGGGGGCGUGAGAGCGUGGACCCCCACACGGGUACUGAGACACGGACCCGACUCCUACGGGAGGCAGCAGUAAGGAAUAUUGGUCAAUGGAGGAAACUCUGAACCAGCCAUCCCGCGUGUAGGAAGAAGGCCCUCUGGGUUGUAAACUACUUUUAUCUGGGAAGAAAAGCCUGUAUUUAUGCGGGUCUGACGGUACCAGAGGAAUAAGCACCGGCUAACUCCGUG